UAGAAUGCAGUCGACGGGGAUAGCAAUAUCCUAGUGGCGAACGGUCGCGUAACACGUAGGCAACCUGCCCAAAAGUGGGGGACAACAGCCUGAAAGGGCUGCUAAUACCGCAUGUGGCUCCCUAGUGGCAUCACUUUGGAUCUAAAGCUUAAUGCGCUUUUGGAUGGGCUUGCGGCCUAUCAGGUAGUUGGUGGGGUAAUGGCCUACCAAGCCGACGACGGGUAGCUGGUCUGAGAGGACGAUCAGCCGGAUUGGGACUGAGAUACGGCCCAGACUCCUACGGGGGGCAGCAAUUAGGAAUCUUGCGCAAUAGGGGCAACCCUGACGCAGCGACGCCGCGUGCGGGAUGAAGGCAUUCGUGUCGUAAACCGCUUUUUACGGGGAAGAAGCAUUUGACGGUACCCGUCGAAUAAGCCCCGGCUAACUACGUGCCAGCAGCCGCGGUAAUACGUAGGGGGCGAGCGUUGUCCGAAGUUACUGGGCGUAAAGCGCGCGUAGGCGGCCAUUUAAGUUCGGGGUGAAAGGUUCAACGCUCAACGUGAACAGUGCCUUGAAUACUGGGUGGCUUGAGUUCGGGAGAGGGCAGUGGAAUUCCUGGUGUAGCGGUGAAAUGCGUAGAUAUCAGGAGGAACACCGAUGGCGAAGGCAGCUGCCUGGCCUAGAACUGACGCUGAGGUGCGAAAGCGUGGGGAGCGAACAGGAUUAGAUACCCUGGUAGUCCACGCCGUAAACGAUGAGUGCUAGGUGUUCGGGGUAUCGACCCCCCGGGUGCGCGCUAACGCAGUAAGCACUCCGCCUGGGGGAGUACGCGCAG
rnacentral:rRNA from 1 species